rnacentral:rRNA from 1 species
UACGGAGGGUGCAAACGUUGCUCGGAAUCACUGGGCGUAAAGCGCACGUAGGCGGAUUGCUAAGUCAGGGGUGAAAUCCUGGAGCUCAACUCCAGAACUGCCUUUGAUACUGGCGAUCUUGAGUCCGGGAGAGGUGAGUGGAACUGCGAGUGUAGAGGUGAAAUUCGUAGAUAUUCGCAAGAACACCAGUGGCGAAGGCGGCUCACUGGCCCGGUACUGACGCUGGGGUGCGAAAGCAUGGGGAGCGAACAGG